rnacentral:tRNA from 1 species
GUAUGGUCUAGUGGUAUGAUUCUCGCUUAGGGUGCGAGAGGUCCCGGGAUCGAUCCCCGGCUCA